AUGGUGUCCGCCGCCGGCGGGCGCGCGGGGAGGCUUGGCUCCGAGAAGACGAGGCACGGGUGGAACGGAGUUGGGAGCAAUUUCCGGGGCGCGGAGCCAGGAGAGAAAUCGCCACCACCACUGAUUUCGUCGGAUAGCUCCAAUGUCAGGCUCCGCUUACCCAAUAGGAACGGACACAAGCGAGCUAGGAGUACGAUGGGUAUCCAAGACAUCCGCGAUGCUGUGUCAUCCAUGUUCAUCAUGCUGAACAAGGAGACAUACGUCCUGUUUCGGAUUGAGUUUCUUGUGGUCCUCGUCACACUCUUGUUCCUUGUGAUGUUCAUCAUAGAUGUCUUUCGUCGCUACAUCCACAACACAAUCAUGAAAACAAUCUUUAGCAUCUUGGAUGCCGUCUCUGACUCUAUUGUCUUGUACGUGUUGGGGGCCAUGCAAACAGCAAAGUUCAAGAAUCAACUGUUUCCGGUUUGGGCCCUUGUCCUUGUUAGUUUCCGUUACAAUGUCGACUUCAUCUCUGGCUAUGGUGUUGAUGACCGCCAUGGGCGACGGUUCAUGGAGUGGAGGAACGUGGUGAAGCUUCUGGGAUCGGCCUUCUUAAACUUGUCACGUGGCUCCAGGUUUGCGCGUCCACUCUGGUCGCUUUUGGCUCUGCAGAUACUGAGGAGCUGGUACAGAUUCCAAGCGCAUUCUCUGGCGCUCAAUUCUGUCUGGCAUGGCAAGAGUUCAGAGGUCGUUAAAGAGCACAUGCGUGCCGGCCCUCACACUAGCAACUGGAAACCAGAGGACUGCAACCCAGAGAAUAUGGAAGGAUACAAAUACUUGGUCCAUGGAGAAACCGAACGGAGCAUCAACUUCAAGAAGCCACGGUAUGUCAUGUAUAUUGAUACUGCCCAGAAUGUCCAGCAAGCUAAGCGUCGUUCUGCUUCGAAUCAAGAGAGAUCAUCACUGGUCACCCUAGACAAGAUCUGGGGAUGUUGCAGGCACCUGUUAGAACCGGGCAACAAGCAGGGGAAUGACCCAAAGGAUCUCUCUCUGGCCUUCGCCUUGUCCAGAUUGCUCCGGUGCAGGCUCGAGGAUGUGACACUGGAACAAGAAAUCUUCCGGAUCAAUCGAAAGCUAGUUAAGACUAAGAUCCUUGAGGAGCAGAACACUGACCGUGCCUUCAGGGUCAUGGAGCUGCAACUCUCCUUCGUAAACGACUACUUCAACUCCCGCUACCCUAUGGUCUUCUGGAGUGGGUUCUUUUCUCUAUUCUCAAAUCUGCUUCUCUCCACGGUGACCUUUGGUGUUGUCUGCUGGCUUGCCGUGGACAUCCGUAAGGUCUAUACGCCCCCAGAGAAUGAUCGGGCUCAUGUGGUGCAUGGGAUCAAUAUUGACAUGAUGAUCACAUGGGUAUUCAUGUUUUUUAUGUUGUUCAAAGAGAUCUGGGAGAUGGUCAGCUACUUAGUCUCAAACUGGACUAGAUUACUCCUUGUUUGCAGCUAUGCUCAGUGGAAGGAAGAGCGCACUAGAAACAGAUGUAUGGAGGGCAUAAUAUCAUCCUUUUUCAAAUCUAAGAUAACUAGUAAGCAGUGGCAUGGACAUAUUGACCAGUAUGUCUUCUUAGAGUCAUAUGAUGCAAGAUUUUGGAAUUUUCUCCACCACAUAACUACAGGAAUGGUGCCAAAGAAGGACGAUGGAGCAACACUCAGCAACGCCAUCGAUGUGCCGGAAUGUAUCAAGGCAGCAAUACUGAAGAGGCUAUGUGCAAGCCUAAAGAAGCUCAACUCUCCUGGCAUUGUACAAGAUGAGUCGGAUAAUCCUAAUAGAGAAGAUGAGGAGCUCAUCAUUAGAAGUGGUUGUUCUCUGCCCAAGGCCAUCACAUCACUGUCUGAUGCAGACUGUGACCGAAAGAAACGGUACGGUUGGGCCUGCUACGACCUGCCCACAUGCUCACAUGUAAUCCUGGUGUGGCACAUAGCAACAAGCCUCUGCGAGAUGAAGCUUGCUCGGGCACAUGGCGUCGAUUUAAGCAAACAUGGGUUCCUGGUCUCCCUCUUGUCGUACAUGACAAGUUGCUGCUCAUCAAAACCAUAUCUUGUGGAUGUGGACGAGAAGACGAAAGAAAAGAAGAAAGUGAAUGAGAAGUUGCCUGAUAAGAUCCAGGAAAUGUAUAUCACUGCCAAUAGCUUGUCUCGGUACUGUGCAUAUCUGCUAGUUUCAAAGCCCGACCUGAUCCCUGAUAGCUUUUAUGUUCCCAAAAUGGUCUUCCAAGAAACCGUAACACAAGCUCGUGAUGGUAUUCUUAAGGACUGUGACUCAUUACAGAAGAGGUAUGAAAAACUGUUGCAAGUCGGAGUCGAGGCCAUCCAAGAUGCUAACAACGUCAUGAAGGAUGAUGUCGUACGACAAGGUGCAAAGCUGGGAAAGUUACUGAUUGAUCAAGAGAGUGAAGAAGGCUGCUGGGAGAUCCUGUCUGGGGUAUGGGCAGAGUUACUAGUGCACAUUGCCCCCACUUGGAACGCAGAGGCGCACAAGGAGUGCCUCGAGUCAGGAGGGGAAUUCAUAACCUAUAUCUGGGCAUUGCUAUGGCAUUGUGGAAUCGAGAAGAGCAAAUUAUGGCCUGAGGAAGAUUUGCAUGAAAAUGGUGCCCCUGGAACACCACCUCAGGAUAACAGUGUUCAAACUAAUAGCACUCAGCAUGCACAGCAGACUUGUGCAGCAGGACCAAAGAAAGAAAGAGAGGAAGCUGUCAUACAGAGAUCAGAGAUGCAGCAAGUUGAUGCAGAGGAGAGGAAUGGGUGGACCGAAACGCCAAGCGCAGAUACGGCUGAUCAUCAGAAUGGGCAAGGUGGCAGUAUGGGGGUCAGAGGGAUGCAGAAUGGCGGGAACACAUGUUACUUCAAUGCAGUGCUGCAGAGUCUCCUUGCACUUGAUAAGCUGCGUGCAAGGAUGUUAGGACCCGAUGCUCUGAAAGGGAACCUUGGUCAUGAACUACAGAAGCUCUUCAUAACGACAACAAAUACCAAUGGCACAAGAGGUGUGCUGAAUCCAGAGAAGCUCUUCUUACAUAUGUGCUUAAUGAAUUCAGAUUUCAGACCUGGCGUGAUGGAAGACAGCAACAACAUGCUUGUUUCCUUGCUAGAUGGUUUGAACAAUGAGGAACCUACAAUAGUUGAGUCACUCUUCCAUUGCCAGGCUGAUAAACAUGUCUCCAGUAAAGAAUGUGAGCACACAUCAGUUACCACUGAGGACCUUAAUCUCAGUUUGGCAAUACCAACAAAGAAGCCUGCAUCAGUCGAUGACUGUUUGGAUUUAUAUGCCGCUGGAGUGAUCGUGGACUGGCACUGCAUGGACUGUUCAGCUGCUUCUGCUGCUAGAAACACCUCUUUGAACCAAGAAGAUACAACAGUCAACAAUGGACAACCUGAACAGCCGGACAACAUAACAUACGGAAAGGAGGAGUGUAGCCAUCUAGCUAACAGUGAUAGACAAGCAAGAGCAACAGAUGAGAACAACGGAAAACUACAGGUGCAUGAUGACUAUGCAAAUCAAAUGGAACAGUGCCAUAAAAACCAGAAAGAAGAAGACAAGAUAUACAGAGAUGCAACAGUGCAGUAUCGCAUUAGCAAGGCUGCACCUUUACUAACCAUUCAACUGAAGAGAUUCGACUAUUCCCACGCAGAUAGGCCAGACAAGUUGGAAGACCGCGUGAGCUUUCAGGAUACGCUUGAUAUAAUAAAGUUCAUGGACCCUAGACAUGUGGAGGAUGACGAGUACAAGUAUCGUCUGGUUGCUGUCAUUGUACACAGUGGGCCAAGGUUGUGUGACGGACACUUUUUUGCUUAUGUGAGAGCAAGCCAGAUUGGAUGCCAGCAGCAGGAGAGCCGUGGCACUCCCACGUGGUUUCGUGCAAGUGACGAGAGCAUCACAGAGGUAUUGCUCGAGGAGGUACUGGAGUGUCAGGCCUACAUUCUUUUCUACGAAAGAGUCGAACAACCAAAGGCCAAUGAAGUUCUAGAAGAGUAUCCGCCAACCGGCCACUGA
rnacentral:rRNA from 1 species